rnacentral:rRNA from 1 species
AAUUGGAGGGCAAGUCUGGUGCCAGCAGCCGCGGUAAUUCCAGCUCCAAUAGCGUAUAUUAAAGUUGUUGCAGUUAAAAAGCUCGUAGUUGAAUUUCGGGAUUGACGUGAUGGUCGUGCCUUAAGGGGUAUGAACUGUCGCAGUUGAUUUCUCACCUUCUGGAGAAACAUGAUGUCCUUAAUUGGGUGUCAUGUGGAACCAGGACCUUUACCUUGAAAAAAUUAGAGUGUUUAAAGCAGGCAUUUUGCUCGAAUACAUUAGCAUGGAAUAAUAGAAUAGGACGGCAUGGUUCUAUUUUGUUGGUUUCUAGGAUCACCGUAAUGAUUAAUAGGGAUAGUUGGGGGCAUUAGUAUUCAAUUGUCAGAGGUGAAAUUCUUGGAUUUAUUGAAGACUAACUACUGCGAAAGCAUUUGCCAAGGAUGUUUUCAUUAAUCAAGAACGAAAGUUAGGGGAUCGAAGACGAUCAGAUACCGUCGUAGUCUUAACCAUAAACUAUGCCGACUAGGAAUCAGACGAUGUUAAUUUUUUAAUGACUCGUUUGGCACCUUACGGGAAACCAAAGUGU